rnacentral:rRNA from 1 species
GGAGCUUGCUCUGUGGGAUCAGUGGCGAACGGGUGAGUAACACGUGAGCAACCUGCCCCUGACUCUGGGAUAAGCGCUGGAAACGGCGUCUAAUACUGGAUAUGUGACGUGACCGCAUGGUCUGCGUCUGGAAAGAAUCUCGGUUGGGGAUGGGCUCGCGGCCUAUCAGCUUGUUGGUGAGGUAAUGGCUCACCAAGGCGUCGACGGGUAGCCGGCCUGAGAGGGUGACCGGCCACACUGGGACUGAGACACGGCCCAGACUCCUACGGGAGGCAGCAGUGGGGAAUAUUGCACAAUGGGCGCAAGCCUGAUGCAGCAACGCCGCGUGAGGGAUGACGGCCUUCGGGUUGUAAACCUCUUUUAGCAGGGAAGAAGCGAAAGUGACGGUACCUGCAGAAAAAGCGCCGGCUAACUACGUGCCAGCAGCCGCGGUAAUACGUAGGGCGCAAGCGUUAUCCGGAAUUAUUGGGCGUAAAGAGCUCGUAGGCGGUUUGUCGCGUCUGCUGUGAAAUCCGGAGACUCAACCUCCGGCCUGCAGUGGGUACGGGCAGACUAGAGUGCGGUAGGGGAGAUUGGAAUUCCUGGUGUAGCGGUGGAAUGCGCAGAUAUCAGGAGGAACACCGAUGGCGAAGGCAGAUCUCUGGGCCGUAACUGACGCUGAGGAGCGAAAGGGUGGGGAGCAAACAGGCUUAGAUACCCUGGUAGUCCACCCCGUAAACGUUGGGAACUAGUUGUGGGGUCCAUUCCACGGAUUCCGUGACGCAGCU